rnacentral:rRNA from 1 species
AACGAACGCUGGCGGCGCGUCUUAAACAUGCAAGUCGAACGGCAGGAAGGGGCUUGCCCCUUCUGAGAGUGGCGGACUGGUGAGUAACACGUGGGUGACAUACCUUUUAGUUGGGGAUAGCUAUUAGAAAUAGUAGGUAAUACCGAAUGUGACCGUACCUGUUAGAGGGGUACGAGGAAAGGAGCUAAGGCUUCGCUAAAAGAAUGGCUCGCGGCCCAUUAUGCUCGUUGGUGAGGUAACGGCCCACCAAGGCGAUGAUGGGUAUCCGGCCUGAGAGGGUGAACGGACACAUUGGGACUGAGAUACGGCCCAGACUUCUGCGGGAGGCAGCAGUUAAGAAUAUUCCGCAAUGGACGAAAGUCUGACGGAGCGACGCCGCGUGGAUGAAGAAUGCCGAAAGGUUGUAAAAUCCUUUUAAGCCUGAUGAAUAAGCACAGUAGGGAAUGAUUGUGCGGUGACCGUAGGGCUUGAAUAAGCACCGGCUAAUUACGUG